GCUCACGAAAUCAAACCGUCGCCGAGCUCUGUAACGCCUCCCAAACCAUUAAUCCUUUCUUUACUCUGAUUUUUCCUCAAUUAAUCCACCCCGCCCAUAUUAAUCAAACAAAAUACCUCUUCACCAGUUUCCUCUAUAAAUGUCUCUCAUUUCUUCGAUGGUGAAUACAACCCAAACGAUUUCGCAAACGAUUUCGCUGCUC
rnacentral:lncRNA from 1 species